rnacentral:rRNA from 1 species
AACGAACGCUGGCGGCGUGCCUAACACAUGCAAGUCGUGCGGUAACAGGCGUAGCAAUACGUGCUGACGAGCGGCGAACGGGUGCGUAAUACAUGGGAAUCUGCCCUUUAGUGGGGAAUAACCCGGCGAAAGCCGGGCUAAUGCCGCAUAAGAUCUUCGGAUGAAAGCGGGGGAUCGUAAGACCUCGCGCUGAUGGAUGAGCCCAUGUCGGAUUAGCAGUUGGUGAGGUAACGGCUCACCAAGGCGACGAUCCGUAGCUGGUCUGAGAGGACGGCCAGCCACACUGGGACUGAGACACGGCCCAGACUCCUACGGGAGGCAGCAGUGGGG